rnacentral:lncRNA from 1 species
AUGUGUGAAUCACCUCCGCUGUCUGCUGUCGAUGGGGAGGAGCAGCAGGGGCUAGCAGGGCAUGUUGUGAUCUGUGGGGGAAACCGGAGUACCCGGAGGAAACCCACGCAUGCAUGGGGAGAACACGCAACUCCACGCAGAAAGGCCAUCCAAUGGAUGGAUGGAUUUAUAGCAGCUGUGAGUAAAAACAAACCUGCAACCAUCUUCUAGAUAUUACUGCCAUCUAGUGGUCAGAUAGCACAACUAACUCACCCAGCUGACUUUUCCAUUAGUGUUAUUAAGUCAGUUUAACCUGUAACAAUUUCUGUUUGUGAGUUGAUGAGUUCAGAUUUUAACAGCUAAUCGUUGGUUCAGCGUCUGAAUCAACGCAUUUUACUCCAAGCUGUUGAAAAUAUAAAAUAAUCAACAUUUUAGUUUAAACUUCACAUAAAUAAAAGUUCUAACAAUGUAAUUUAAAAUAAAAGCAAACAAUGAAAUACCUUUGGAUUGCAGUAACAGACUUAAAUUAGGAGAUCUCUGCAGCCUUCCUAAGUAGAUCCUAUCAUUUAUACAUAUUUGUUCAUCUGAUCUUUGAAAUGAUAAAUUAGUACAAACACGAGUCUAAUUCUGUUUUGCUUCCUAUAAUAAAUCAGCAACAGAAAUAGAAAAAUAUGUAAUUUUAUAAUUUAGUAAAAAAAUAAAACGGGAACAAUUCGGUAAACAUCUGGAAACAUACUGGAAAUCAUACCGAAACAGAAACACUAACACAACACUUGAAUAACAAUGACGACACAGGCAGCAUAAAGUUCACUGAGUCAGAAACAGAAGGCAGCAUAGCUUUUAUGGACAUGAAAAUAAGCAGGCAGACCGACAGGACCCUAAACAUAAACACAUACAGGAAACCAACACACACAGACCAAUAUCUGUUAUGGACAUCAGAACACCCCACCAUACACAAAAUGUCAGUAAUCAGAACAUUAUACCAUCGAACAAACAUGGUAACUGUAAAGGAGGGUUUGGUUAUUGGUUAAAGCUAGCUCUUUCCAGGUGAGGUGGUUAUCAAUAUGGUGUAUCUGUUAGAAUACAGGUAGAGGCUAGAUGCAUCCUUUGCUGUAGAUCCAAAUCUUGAAUCUUGGUUGAUGGUAAUCAUUAACAGCAUUGACAACAGUCUGAAACAGUAAACAUAAUUAUUAAGAUAAGAGACAAUUCCGGUGACAGCAAAUUCUCUUACAGAAUAUAAAAUUAUCCAAUAUCGUACUGAACUAACCAUAUGUCACAUAUGUCUUAAAAUGAAUUACUAAUGAUCCUUCUCAUUCAAUACAGAAAGGGGGAAUGAGGCAAAACACAUUUAUCUUAAUUAACCAACUUACAAUCUAACAGAGAAAUUCAAACAAUAGCACCCUCUUGUGGCUAUCUAAGAUCUCCAUAACUCACUCGUGUGACACUGUCAGCCUUUACUCACUAGAGCAAUUAUAAGGUGGAACUAGAAAUGAAAUGUAACAAAAUAACUCCUCAUGUCAUUAACAUCAAGGCUAAACAACUUUAAAUAUUUUUUAUAAAAGGAAAGAAACGUGUUGGACAUAAACACUUCAGUAAUUCAAUACUCAACUAAUAUUCCAUAAUUAAACGGAGGAACUUAAUAAUGCAGUCUUAAACAUGAAGUAAAGUGACUCACAUUCUUGCAUUAACAUAAUG